CUUCAGCCUGGUUCCGGUGAGUUCCGUUGGCCCGGAGAGGUAUGGCUGCGUCGUCGCUAUGGAGACAGAGAACAGCAUCAGAGCAGUAGCUCACUGUGUUGUUGAUACUGGGGCGGCGUAGCCUAGUGGUUAGCGCGUUGGACCAGUAACCGCAAAGGUUUCUAGAUCAAAUCCCAGAGCUGACAAGGUAAAAGGUGUCGUUCUGCCCCUGAACAAGGCAGUUAACCCACUGUUCCUAGGCCGUCAUUGAAAAUAAGAAUUUGUUCUAAACUGACUUGCCUAGUUAAAUAAAGGAUAAAUAAAUUAAAAUUGAGCAUCUUGAUCUUAAUGAGGAAGCUAAAUUGAAUGAUUUUACAAGGCUAGAGGAGCCUUCAUACGGUCCAGGAAACAAUGGCGUGAAAAGGGCAUAAAGAACAGCAGAUAACAGUCUUUAGAACUUUGUUUGAGGCUUCUACUGUGAGGUGAAUGAGAGGGGGCUGAAUGAGAGGGGGCUGAAUGAGAGGGGGCUGAAUGAGAGGGGAUUGAGGUGUCUGGCCGAGUGCCACAGGCUGAAUGAGAGGGGGCUGAAUGAGAGGGGAUUGAGGUGUCUGGCCGAGUGCCACAGGCUGAAUGAGAGGGGG
ensembl:lncRNA